UGUGGUUGUAAUGAGAGAAAAUAUGGAAAAGUUCAAGGUGUAUGAAGACUUUGGCAAACAGCUCUAAUCAUCCCUCUGUGUAGAUCAACUUAAUGAAGUAAAAACUCAUGAAAGGGGAACUUUAAGGAUUUAUUUCAGAAGGUUAAAUACAUUUAGACUGAAAAAUAUUCAAACCAGCACCAUGAAAGAUUUAUGAGCUCAACGUUUCCUCGAAACAUCCCAUUGAUCAACUUCCAUGAUCUGACGAGAACAAAGCCUGAACUUAUGAAUCAGUGGGUUUAUUGCUUAUAGAUUUACAUUGGACAGGGAUUUAGCUUGGGAAGCUACAUGUAGCCGGUAGCGUGGUGUAAUCUGAUUA